GAAGGGGGCUAGCGUUGUUCGGAAUUACUGGGCGUAAAGGGCGCGUAGGCUGUGCUGUAAGUCAGGUGUGAAAUCCCCGGGCUCAACCUGGGAAUUGCACUUGAUACUGCGGCGCUGGAAUGCAGGAGAGGAUGGCGGAAUUCCCAGUGUAGAGGUGAAAUUCGUAGAUAUUGGGAAGAACACCGGUGGCGAAGGCGGCCAUCUGGCCUGUAAUUGACGCUGAGGCGCGAAAGCGUGGGGAGCAAACAGGAUUAGAUACCCUGGUAGUCCACGCCGUAAACGAUGAGUGCUAGACGUCGGGGGCUUGCCUUCGGUGUCGCCGCUAACGCAUUAAGCACUCCGCCUGGGGAGGUACGGUCGCAAGAUUA
rnacentral:rRNA from 1 species